ACACACCCCUCGAGCCCUGCUCGGCGUUGGGCGCGACCUCGACGGUCGGCCCCAAAGGCAGUGGCGGCGGCGCCCGUCCCCGAGCGUAGUGCACUCCCCGCUCCGGGGCCCGGCGGUCGCACGCCAAGACCACACAUGG
rnacentral:misc_RNA from 1 species